CCCGCAGCCCAAACCCUAGCUUAGAUCCCCCAUCGCACCCCUCCUACCUCGUCCCCAUCUCCUCGCCGCCGCGGCCACCUCCUCCCCGUCCCCUGCACCACUCCUCGUCGCCAACCUCUCCGCCGCCACCUCCUCCCCGUCCCCUGCACCACUCCCUGAUCCCUCCUCCGGCCCCAUCCCCGGCCAUCCGUCCCAGUCGCUGCUCUCUCUUUGUUCAGUGAGAUGGGAUCCACUCCCGCAGCCGCCGGUCCACCCUCACCGUCGACAACCCAUGCCGCUGUCGCACAACACCGCGCCCUCCCCUUACCCUGGCCCCAAGUCAGGCAGUGCAAGGCGGCGCUUCUAGACCAUGAUGGUCAAAACCUUGCCCACUCCGAUCUGGAUCCAUGGUGCACUCCUUCCUCCCUCUGAAUCGAUGGCCGCAACCUCGCCGAUGGAUCCAGCACCUGCCGGAGAUGAGGGCUGCCAGAUCCGCGACCUGGGAGGCUCCUCCUAUAGGAUACGGGAGCAGCGCGCCGCACCCUGCAGUCGUCGGUCCGGGACGAGCGCAGUGGCUCGAGGAAGCCGGCGACAAACAUCGGCGCUCCUCUGCUCCAUCGACCUGGACAGCUACUACUCCGCCAAAGACGCCGCCUAGAGGUACCAGAGGCUAGCCAGCAGAGGACAAGGGCUUCAAGGACAACCAAGGCGCAUGGUGCUCGCAAGCGAUGAAUGGAGUUUGUUCGACAUAGGCACGGAGGAGGAGGAGGACAAAGCACCUCUCUUCUUCUAGGUUACUGAGCAGCAUCAGGAGGAGGAGCUCAAGAACGACCACCAAGAGGCACCACCACAGCAGCAGAUAGCACAUCCAUCUCCACCUCCCUCUCCCGCUGCUCCCAAUCCUUUUUAUUAGAAUAUAUUGAGUACAUUCUGUCAACUUGUGUGUCAGUAAGAAUAUUAUUUCUGUUCAAGUAUAGUAGCUUCUGUCCAAGUGCUCUUCAUCUUGUGUGUCAUCUGCAAGCCAAUCAAGUUAAUUAGAUGUUGCUCUUUUGAUGUUCUGCUUCAUACAUACAUGCAUAUGUGAUGGCUCCCUGCCUCCAUGCCUGCUACAUCUCCGCUUGCAUAAAUCAAAAGAAAAGAAAGGAACACUCAGCAUAAAAUAAUUGUAAUGAGCAGCACAUGCCUUUCAUUUUAUAGGAUGGUCAUUGUAUCAUGAUAACUGGAUCAUGUCUAUGCCACAUACAAAUCAUUGAGCAGUGUUCCUGAUGGCCUGUUACCUUGAAUAAUAAUGUUGACAGGAGCAUUUUGGUUGCACGUUUGCGACUUCUUGCUUGAAUCCCAAAGUUUCAGAUCAACGUUGGGUUCAAUGUUUGCUUUCCAUUCUUAUUGUCCGUCUUAGAUCGUUCCCAGUUCACUAAAUCAAGUUGCCUGACCUACCUAUCAGGCAGGCUCACAUAGCUGUAUAUGCCGUGUCCUUUCCAGUUGGACAUGUGCAAGCUGUGUUUUUACAUAAGCUCAUUUGAAAAUCACAUACUAGUAGCAGCAAAGUUUAGUGCAAUAGUUGUCUGUCAACGUUCAGUGCAAGCAGCAAAAUUCAGUUAUGCACAAGCACCAUUUAGCAGCAACAUAGGUAUAUAGCAUUCAUUUAGCGGCAGAAAAAUCAAGUUCAUUUUACUCGCUGCUCUCUUUGGCAUUUACAGUCUUGGACUCUCUGGCUGCUCCUCCUCUGGCCAAUGGUGAAGCGCCCGACGAGGCCAGCAGCAAGGCAAUGCGGCGGGAUCGUGCUCCCGUGAUCGUCUGAGGCGCCUGCUCUGCUGCUUAAGCUGAUUCAUGUAACAGGGCGUCCGUGUGGAAUGCCCAGUCCUGACUAUUGAAGGAGCUACAUGUAGAAGAAGAAAACACUAGUAGACCAGUGAUUCCCAUACUUGUAGAGCUUGUAUCAACUAAGCUUGUAUUACGUCUAACUUGUAGAACUUGUAAAGUACUGUAUAUGUAACAACUUGUAGUACUUGUCAUUUGUAGAACUUGUACUGAAUCUGGCUAUUGUUAUUUGAAGUAUCAUGUGUGUUU